CAAAUAACCAUGCAAACAUUGCAAGUAUAUCUUUCGAGAUGGAUAUCUUUUGCCAGUUAUUCAAUUCGUCCAAAAGAGAUUGAAUAUUAGUGAUCUAAAAUAUAUUUAAUAUAAAAAAUAGAAAAAAAAAAUUGCUUUAAAAAAAAAAAAAAAAAAGAAGUUGCACCAUUGACACGCUGAUCGCAAGAUAGAAAGAAUCGAGUGUACGUUGAAGAAAAAAAAAAAAUGUGUGCAAUCCGACAUUGUAAGCGAAUACUUGCAACGAACAUUCGUCCUUUUCGACGAAUUGAGUCUUGCAAAGAUUGAAUACCAACCCUUCCAAUCAAUCCUUUUCCCUCAAAUUUUUACAAUCUCUCGCGAUUAUUGUACACACAUCCCUUUGUUGUUGCCCAUUCUGAUUAAUUGUGUACCGCAUAUUUGUGCAAUGUACCCGAUAGGUACAUUCUUAAAUAUAUAACCCCUGGUGAAAUGCAAAACGUUGAAACGUAACAGGUGAAACGUAAAGGUGUCGAUGAAAAGAAAAGUGUGUGAAUUUUAUUGUACGAGAAUCGUUCAACGUUGAAAAAAAAAAAUGUUGUAAGAGCAAGAAAAUUCUCAAUUCGAACGGAUCUAAUGCGAUUCUAUUGUAAACAGGGGGGGAUAUCUACGAAGAAAACUGCGAACUGCUAAUGUGUAAUUAUCUUAAAAUCAGUGAUGCCUAAUCGCAAUAAUAAUAGUAGUAGUAAUAGUAAUAGUAGUAGUAGUAGUAGUAGUAGUAGUAGUAGUAGUAGUAGUAGUAGUAGUAGUAGUAGUAAUAGUGAUAAUAGUAAUAGUAAUAAUUAUAAUGAGGAGAAUAAGAGUAAUUACGUAGUAAAAAUAAAUAGUGAGGCUGCUGCGAGAAGGCACAGCUUUUGUCAAAUACAAAUUAAUCGUGCGAUUAAAUAUAUUCGUAACAUGUUUGAAUCAAAAUAGAAGAAUUCGAUUCUAAACCCAAACACACACUUUCAUGUAGCAGCAUUCUAAGAAGGAUGCUCAAGAAAUAUCACCACCACUCCUAUUGAGACGACAACAAAUAAAACUUGGAACACAUUUUAUUACAACGAAUCAAUGUGUUGUGUGUAUGAUGUGUGUAUGCGUG